rnacentral:rRNA from 1 species
CCUACGGGGGACAGCAGUGGGGAAUAUUGCACAAUGGGGGGAACCCUGAUGCAGCGACGCCGCGUGAGUGAUGAAGUAUUUCGGUAUGUAAAGCUCUAUCAGCAGGGGAGAAAAUGACGGUACCUGACUUAGUAGCCCUGGAGAACUACGUGCAAGCAGCCGCGGUAAUACGGAGGGGGCAGGCGUUAUCCGGAUUUACUGGGUGUAAAGGGAGCGUAGGCGGCUGAGCAAGUCUGAAGUGAAAGCCCGCGGCCCAACUGCGGGACUGCUUUGGAAACUGCCCGGCUAGAGUGCUGGUGAGGCAAGUGGAAUUCCUAGUGUAGCGGUGAAAUGCGUAGAUAUUAGGAGGAACACCAGUGGCGAAGGCAGCUUACUGGACAGUAACUGACGUUGAGGCUCGAAAGCGUGGGGAGCAAACAGGAUUAGAUACCCGAGUAGUC